rnacentral:rRNA from 1 species
GAUGAACGCUGGCGGCGUGCCUAAUACAUGCAAGUCGAGCGAACGGACGAGAAGCUUGCUUCUCUGAUGUUAGCGGCGGACGGGUGAGUAACACGUGGAUAACCUACCUAUAAGACUGGGAUAACUUCGGGAAACCGGAGCUAAUACCGGAUAAUAUUUUGAACCGCAUGGUUCAAAAGUGAAAGCCGGUCUUGCUGUCACUUCUAGCUGGAUCCGCGCUGCAUUAGCUAGUUGGUAAGGUAACGGCUUACCAAGGCAACGAUGCAUAGCCGACCUGAGAGGGUGAUCGCCCACACUGGAACUGAGACACGGUCCAGACUCCUACGGGAGGCAGCAGUAGGGAAUCUUCCGCAAUGGGCGAAAGCCUGACGGAGCAACGCCGCGUGAGUGAUGAAGGUCUUCGGAUCGUAAAACUCUGUUAUUAGGGAAGAACAUAUGUGUAAGUAACUGUGCACAUCUUGACGGUACCUAAUCAGAAAGCCACGGCUAACUACGUG